CAGUAGCCACGGUAAUACGAAGGGGGCUAGCGUUGUUCGGAUUAACUGGGCGUAAAGGGCGCGUAGGCGGGUUUUUAAGUCAGAGGUGAAAUCCCAAGGCUCAACCUUGGAACUGCCUUUGAUACUGGAAGUCUUGAGUCCGGGAGAGGUGAGUGGAACUGCGAGUGUAGAGGUGAAAUUCGUAGAUAUUCGCAAGAACACCAGUGGCGAAGGCGGCUCACUGGCCCGGUACUGACGCUGAGGCGCGAAAGCGUGGGGAGCAAACAGGAUUAGAUACCCGCGUAGUCCCUGUCUCUUAUAC
rnacentral:rRNA from 1 species